CCCAGGGUAGUGUAGUGGUUUUAGUGUUGGACUAUGACUCUGGAGACCAGGGUUUGAUUCCCAGCUUAGCCA
rnacentral:tRNA from 1 species